rnacentral:rRNA from 1 species
GACAGAGGGUGCAAACGUUGUUCGGAAUUACUGGGCGUAAAGCGUGUGUAGGCGGCCGUGCAAGUCGGAUGUGAAAGCCCCGGGCUCAACCCGGGAAGUGCACUCGAAACUGCGAGACUUGAGUCCUGGAGAGGAAGGCGGAAUUCUCGGUGUAGAGGUGAAAUUCGUAGAUAUCGAGAGGAACACCGGUGGCGAAGGCGGCCUUCUGGACAGUGACUGACGCUGAGACGCGAAAGCGUGGGGAGCAAACAGG